CCCCAACUAUAACUAGAGAAGAAGACAGACGACUUUGAAGACACUCUACCUCCUUCUCCAUUCUCCCAAACUCUCUCUCAAAUGGGUUGCGGUGGAACUCUGUUCUACCCAAUUCUCAUCACCCUCUCCGUCGCUCUCAUCACAUACAACAUCAUCAUCUCCUCCAACGCUCCUCUCAAACAAGGCUUCCCCUCUUCCUCCUACAAUGACCCAGUCAUCCAAUUGCCACGCGGCGGAUCCACAAUCCGCGUCAAUGAAAAGAAGAGAAGGCUUUUCCACACGGCCGUGACGGCCUCCGACUCCGUCUACAACACGUGGCAAUGCAGAGUCAUGUACUACUGGUUCAAAAAGGCUAAAGCCUCCGCUGGACCCGGAUCCGAAAUGGGCGGGUUUACCCGGAUCUUGCACAACGGUAAACCCGAUAAGUAUAUGGAUGAGAUUCCUACUUUCGUCGCCCAGCCUCUGCCUUCUGGGAUGGAUCAGGGUUAUGUUGUACUAAACAGACCAUGGGCGUUUGUACAAUGGCUUCAACAAACUGACAUUAAAGAAGAUUAUGUUCUCAUGUCGGAACCUGAUCAUGUCAUUGUGAAACCUAUACCGAACCUAGCUAAAGAUGGGUUCGGAGCUGCGUUUCCUUUCUUUUACAUCGAGCCGAAGAAGUACGAGAAGGUGUUGAGGAAGUAUUAUCCUGAAGAGAGAGGACCUGUGACCAACAUUGAUCCCAUAGGGAACUCUCCUGUCAUCGUCGGAAAGGAGGAUUUGAAGAAGAUUGCUCCUACUUGGAUGAAUGUUUCUUUGGCUAUGAAGAAGGAUCCUGAAGCAGACAAGGCUUUUGGAUGGGUUCUUGAAAUGUAUGCUUAUGCGGUUUCAUCUGCAUUGCAUGGUGUUAGCAAUGUUCUACACAAAAACUUCAUGAUUCAGCCUCCAUGGGAUAAAGAGGUUGGUGACAAGUACAUCAUACACUACACUUAUGGAUGUGACUUUGAUAUGAAGAGAAUGAUUGGUGUGACUUCAGGGUCACUUAACCUAUGGGAAGGUUGGGGAAUGGAGAUUUGACAAAAGAUCGUAUAUUAAGUCACCGCCACCAAAGAACCUUACAAUGCCACCACCUGGUGUUCCACAGAGUGUGGUAACGUUAGUGAAGAUGGUGAAUGAAGCCACGGCAAACCUUCCAGACUGGGGAUCAUAGAUAGAGAGAGAGAUAGAAACAGUUUACUUUGUGUCUUAAUCUAUCUGUAUACGUUGUCUGUUUCGUUUGUAAAUUAUAUAGCUUUUCAAACAAACCCCGAUCUUAAUCAAAUGAUUAAACUUAUUAAAGAGAAA